UUUUUAAAAGUUUUCUAAUUCCGGGAGAGUUUUUUUUUAGUUCAAAGCUCGUCGUCUCUCUUAGGGUUUCACUAUUUAAUCAAAAGACAUGUAUCCACGUAUAAUGCUUGAGCUCAAUAAUAAAACUUGGAAAAUUAACACACAAAAGCCCUAUCUUUUUUGAUAUAUAAAGAAAAAAGACUACAAGAAGAACUAAAAGUGAACAAAUUUGGAGAAGAGUAUGAGCAAAACCCUAGAGAAAAAUGAAAACGGGUAUAAAUAUUAAUCUCAGAUUGUAAUAUGUAUACAUAUAACUUCGUUUCGCAGUAAAUUAGGGUUAGGGUUCCGAACACGAAGAUAGGAUAACCGAACGACAGAAUCUUAAUUUAAGAUCAACAUUAAUGAGUAAAAUAGCUUGAAAUGCAUUAAUGAAGGGGGGAAAUGGAGAAAGAGAACUUACAGUCCCGCCCCGGCCUCCGAGGGAGAUAUUGUUGAAUAAGUGACCAUCUGCCAUAGCUUCUCUCUCCCGAGUAAAAUACGAACACCGAUGUAGAAGUAGAAGACACAACUCUCGUUUUAUAGUGUGAACGUCAGUCAAUAUAACAAUUUUGCGGUUUCUUCUUUUGGGCCUAAUUUGAAUUUAUCCAUUCAUUUCCUCCCCUGCAAUACCCACAACAAGUAUCUAUCUCAACAAAUAAGUUUUUUAAUGGAGUACAAAAAAAUUGAUAUUGAAUUUAAGGAAAAAAUAAAAAAGGAAUUUGGAAUAUGAAUUUAAAUAAUAUUUGUUCAUACAUAUUUUUAAAAAAAUAGUAGUAUUUCUUUGGUUCCGAAGUGAAAUUUAAACUUAAUUAAAAAAUAAUUUGAAUUUAGUCUUGAAAUAUUGUCUAGAAAAAAAAGUAUACACUGAUUUUAUUGAGAGCAGAUCAUUUGUCCCCAAUUUUCUUGUCCCUUUGUGUUCCUCCAUUUAAAUGUUGACACCUAGUCUUUUACUUAAUACUCCCUCCGUUCCUUAAUAUAAGUAUUAAGUCAUUUUAGAGAAAUAUUUUUGUUCCUUAAUAUAAGUCGUUUGAGAAUUUCAAGUAAGCAUUAAUUGCUUAGUUUCCAAUAUUACCCCAAGUAUUAAAUAUAAUUUUGGCUCUCUCACUAUUUUCUGUCCAAUAAAUAACAAUCUCUUAUUUCAAUACAAGGACAAUAUAGAUAAUUGAUAUUAUAAUUAAUGAUAUACAAUCAUUACCUUAAUACUUGUGCACAACUCUAAAACGACAUAUAUUAAGGAACGGAGGAAGUACUAAUUAAUUUUAAAAUUAAAUAAAAAGACGUGUCAAAAUUUAAGUGAGGAGAGACAGAGAAUUUAGGGACAGUAUCUGCUCUCGAUUUUACUACGGAGUAAAUGAAGAAAGUCGUGAAUCUUAUCAGCCACCAGGGCAGUGUAGAAACGGUGGGUCUGUACUUUGGAGAAUAUUGGUAAGGUAAAUCUAUCCGGUGUUUGGUAGAUUUAGCAAAAAUUCCGGUGAUUGGUGUAAAUGGGUAUGCUUAAUGGGCCAUUUUAAUGCUAAAAUAAUCUCCAUUGAAUGUAAUAAUUUUUAAUUGAAAUGUAACAAUUUUUAAAGUCACAUUUAAUUGAAAUGUAAUAAUUUUUAAUUGAAAUGUAACAAUUACUAAAAUGAAUGAAUUAAUAUGAACUAUGGCGGUUAUAUUAUACUAAAAAUUAGUGUUAAAAGGAAUUCUUCUUGUAAAAAGCAAGGAUAUUUUAAUUUUAUAAUAUGCGUUCGUAAAAUGUGGUUUCAAUGUUUGAAGUUGAGUCCGUUAAAUAUUCAAGUUGAUUUGAUUUGUGCAUAGCAAAUGUAUGGCGGAUGAUGAUAUUCAGAUCCUUUUGGCUGGCUUGGCUAGCUAGGAGGGAAUCAAUGGAUAUUGAUUGAUCAGGUUUCUCUGGUGAUCGAUACUCCAUUAAAUAUGACCAUCCAAUCCAAACAAUAUUCAUUCAAGAGCACAUGACUUUCUACCCUUUCAUAAACUUAAUUUCAAGUGUUUGUAACUAAUGAUACAGCAUUAUGCCAGUAACAACGCCAUACAACAUCCAGAUCCAGGGUGUGAUAAUCCUGCUUCUCCCUCUAUCUUUUAGCUUCAUACCAUGAACCAAUUCCUACCUGUCAUUAAUUACUCCAUUUGAUGGGAAAUGAUUAUGUCAAAUAAACAGACAGUGUGAUAUGUGGCUCCAUUCCUUACCGACACUCUUAUUUCAUGUACUGCUAACUAGUACAUGCGAGUAACAAGUCAACAUACCUGGUGCUCUUUUCCAAGGAAAAAAACACACAAGUACAAUCUCUCAUUUUUCAAGAGACAAGAUUUGCUUGGUUUUUUUCUCCUACAAUCUAAGGACAGAAAGCAGCAAAAGUACGCAGCAAAAAUAGGAGUAUGAUUUCAACUAUACUUAUUUAAUUUUCCUGUCAAAAAGACAAUAUAUGUAUUGUCAUUAUUCUGUGUGUUCAUACUAUAUGCUAUUUUCCAUGCAUUUCCACGAGGAAAUAUUUUUAGAUACUUGAAUAGUUAGUGUUCUGAACAGUGGGGUGGGGUGAAUAUUUUACCAUUUGAUUCCAUAGAAGACAUCGCCACCAUAGAGGAAACUAAUUCCCUUCUACCUUUUUGUUGUUUUGCUGUCAACACAAAUUCCUUGCCAAAAUAUGAUUAAUAUACUAAAUCUCUAAUCACACCAAACCUAACCUAACCUAACCUUGGAUUCUGCAGGAUUUUGAUGUUUAAUGAGUCAAAUAUUAUUUGAUUUACAGUAAAUUUGAACGAGUCGAUGCAAAUUCCAUAUAGAUAAUUACCAAAUACCGUGCCAAAUUCACGUUACAUUAAAAUGUUCAUGUCUAUAGUUCUCUCGGGCAACCCCUUUUUCAAGCUCUUUUUGCUUUUCGAUUUUGUUCUAUAAUUGUAAAUCAAAAGGUGCCACCAUACUGUGCUAUGUCUUGUGGAAGAUACUUUUCUGUCGCCUAGAGAUAUAAAAUUGUUCCUAUUCGUUGGGAGAUAACAGAACCCCAAUUCUUUUAUCUCGGAAGUUUUCAGCUUAUUAUAUAAAUAAACAACUAUUAGGAUAUUCUGAAACUGUUAUACCAUUGAGUUUAGGUUUCUCCAGCAGGCAGACGGAGUAUGGACGGGCUAAAUUUGUCCUAAGAUGACUCUAGAUCAUAGAAAUCAACGAUUUCCAUGUCUUAUCUAACAGUUUUUUUGUGACAACUAAAAACAUAACAAAACCAAAAUAGCCAACUAAUUAUAAAUACUACGAGCACACGUUCUUGGAAAAUCAAGCAAACAUCUGAAGAAAGCAAAGUCAGAGAAUACAAGGGCAAAAGAAAGCAUCAAAGAGGAAAGAAAACACAAAUGGCAACCAUGUUGGUCAAGAAGGAAGAAAAACCUGGAAGGCGACGCCUAAGCAUGGCUGAUGGUGAAGCCCUUGAAGCAAGGUGUGUCAAGAGAAGAAGAAGAGAUUCUGCUGCAAUAGCUCUUAGCUGCAAUCCUCAACAGCAACAGCCACAACAAGUACUUGACCAAGCUUCUAUGCCUACUACUGUGAAGAGAAGUUCAAGAUUUCGCGGUGUUAGCAGGCACAGAUGGACAGGGCGAUUUGAAGCACACUUGUGGGAUAAACUUUCUUGGAAUGUUACACAGAAGAAGAAAGGAAAACAAGGUCAAUUUCAUCGCUUAUAGUAAAUACAUUUCUGAUUUUUUCAAUGUGUUUCUAUUGAAGUUCUAGUGCCUAACAUGUAGUUUUUUCUUAUGUCUCUUAUUGGCCUUACUUUGAAAUGUUAUGCUUGAAAAAUUAAUGUAAUGUUGUAAUAUAUCUCAUUGAUACAAAAAUUUUGAUAUAUUAUUCGUAUUAUUUGAAAUUAAUUUUUAAAAUAAAAAUAAUUAUUAAAAGAAAGGAAAAUAAAAAAUUAUAAAAAAAUGAAUUAAAAUAUUUAUUUUAAAAUAAUAUUUUAAUGAAUUAAUAUUAUUUUGUUUUUUUGUUUGAGAAGAAAAAAUUAUAAAGAAAACCUAUUAAAAAAAUAAAAGAAAGGAGCAACAUGAUAUGUAUUUGUUGCCACGUAAUUACUACGUACUUUUUUAUUUUUUUUCAAAAAGCCACGUAAGCAAUUUAAACAGAUUUGUUAACGUCGGUUACUCAAAUUGGACGGAAUGGCAUGAUUGAAUAUUUUUAAAAAGUACAGUGGACUAAUUGAAUAUUUUAAAAAUACAGUGGCUAAUUGCUUAAAACACUACAAUCACAGUGUAAAAGUACUUUUUGCCAAAUAUAAUUAUAAAUUGAAUUUAUUAUUUUACUUAAAAAUGAAAAAAUAUAUUUACUAUUGAACUUUACAAAUAUAAAAUCACAAUUAAAAUUAAAAACAAAGCAAAAUAAUAAUAAUAAACUAUCCUAAUUUGAUUUAAAUUUGUAUAUAUUAUAAGAGAAUGUAUCAAGCAUCUAAUCGAAUUUAUAUCAAUCGAGUAUGUACCUAAUCCCAAUCAAGAAUUCAAGUAAUUUGAAUAUUAAACUAGUCAAUUAUAACCUUGUUCAAAUUAUAUACUUAUAUUUUUAUUCAAAUUAUUUUUAAUGCUCAUAUUUGAAUCGUAUUAUUAACGAAUCCGAAUCGAGUAUAAAUUGAAUUCGAAUAGCUUGUUUACGAUCUUACUUCCAAAAUAUUCCCUCAAUGUGAAGGGUUAAACGCAAACAGACAUGCUCGGUAGACUAUUUAGUACUACCAAUUUAGCUAAUUCCUUACGUUACUAGUAGAGGCGCAUUUAGUUCAACACUGCAACAACUUCAGAAGACAUUACAGUAAUGUAGCGCUUCUAAUUUGUUCUCUGAAGAUAAAGUUCAAGUAAAUUAAACAAAACAACCGAUUUGAAACGCUAAUGCAACAUUCACAGGCCGCCAGCCUCCAGGUGAAACACUUGGAUUAAACCUGAGAGGAUUUAAAUUUCAAACACUCAAAAGAACUUUCACCAACCCAACUGAAGUAGGGCCUCCAUCAUAUUAAAUUAUCAUUGAAGGUUGAUCUUCUAAUAAAUCUAUAACAUAGUUCCAUAAACAUCUAGAAAAUAUUUAACACUGCUACAUAAACAUCUAAAAGAGUACAAAUAACAAAACAGCCUCGUUAACAAGGAACGUGAUGGUAACUUUUGGAAAGGAUCCCAACUUUCUAUUAAACUUAAUCGGUGUCAGAUUCAUUCCCAUAAUCUAUGCUCGUUGGCUAUGGGUUAUUGUAGCCCUUCAUUUCAUCAUUGUACCGUUUCUUGUCUGCACGAGCGUUUGCUUCAUAUGCUUCUUUCUCCUCAGCUACAUGCAUCAGUUUUUGCACAAUCAGAAAUAGAUCAACAGAUGAUGAAAAUAAUCAAAAGAUCCUUAGGUGGGAGUAUGUGAACACAAACCUGACAUCUUAUUCCAUCUGUCUCCAAGAACUCUGCCAACAUCUGUGAAGGCAAUUCCAGGAUUACUCUUUUUCACAUUCUGCAACCAAUGUAACAGAAUUAGCAACUAUUCGCAAUCACCAUAUGCUAAAUAGCCAGACAACUGCAGCAGGUCCAAUAAGAAAGAGGACCCAAGAAAAAAACAUGGCCAACAUGCAACCAACAAAGUUCCCUCCAUCAACUAAUUAACGAUAUACAAAUAAACUAAAUGUAAGCAAAACCUACAAAAUGUAGCACGCAUGAUAGAAGAAAGUCCAUACAUAAAAAUGAACCACACCCUUGUAAAAACGUUAUCUAUAAUGUAUAUAUUCAUAUCCUUGAUAAAACGAAAGAUAUCAAUAUAAACAGCAACAUUAGUUACUUUACCCUUUUACAAUAACUCGAUAUAAAUAGUGUCACUAAUUAGAAGAAGCAAGAAUAAGGCCAAGACUGCACGCUAGGAAGAGCGGAUCUAUUAUGAGUGUAACCGCCCUUGAAUUUGGAUUUUUUUUGUUACUUAGGGGUUUAUCACUUUAUCUAUUAAAAAUGAAAUUGUGCCCACCCAUCUGAAAAUUUUAAGUAAAAAUUGAGCAAGUAUCUUCUCUAGUUCUCUCAAGUCUCUACCUAUUCAUCCCUACAUCAUCUUUAAUUUGAAUCACUACUCUACUUGUAAAGGAUGAAUCCGAAGAUAUUAAAAAUGAGGCUAUUAUAAAACAAUUUCAUGGAAGAAUGGUUUAGUAGUGACUUUUAUUUAAUAUUGAUUGGACUUUAUUUGGUAUUUUUUAUUAAUUAUAUUUAUUUAUUUUUAUAUUUUAUUUAGUUAUAGCAGUGUCCACCCUUUAAAUAAUUCCUGUAUGGCAUUGUUCAAUGCUCUUGUUAUGUCCUAUCAAUACUCAAUACUCUUCAAAUAACGGUCUUUUCUCUACAUUCCAUAAAAGAAUAAAACCUCAGAGGCAAGAUUAGUUAUCCAGAAUCUGGGUCACACACCAAAUGCCACUCAAUUUGUAUAUGUGUUACCCCAUGGACAUUUCGCACAGACAAUUAUCAACCAUGUUGGGUAUCUUAGAAUUUUGCAUUAUUGAUAUAUGUGACAAAUCAAACAUGAAAGGUGAAAGAAAGAAGAUUGAUCAUCUAUAUCCAUAAGUACCAACCUCCCUUUCAGUCUUCGAGAAGAACAUGAAAGCACUCAAUGGUUUCUUUGGUGCGUUUGGAUCUUUUUUCUUCUUAGGUUUCUUCUUCUUUGUACUAUCUUCAUCACCACCUUUGGUUCUCUUCCUAUUUGCCGAUGCCUUGGAAGAAGCAGAAGGCUCUUUCUUGGAUUCCGUUUUAGCAGAUUUCUGAAAUAACAACUCAUGCAUGCAAGGUAACUCAUAGUAAUCAAACACCGACCACUAACAAAUAAAAGUAAUUCUAAUUCAUGCAAGGUUUUUUUUUUGUAAGAUUUACUGAAAUGUAACCAGGGUUCAUUCAUAUUGAUGUCUUGUGCAAAAACAAAGAAUUAUAACCUUGGGCAGCAAAAAGAGGCGAACAACACUACUGUAUUGAAUUUUGAAAUCAUUGGCUUGACCUUGGAGCCGCAGAAAUGAAACAUGGAGUUCAACAUUGUACCGGCCCCUACGAAAAGCAAAUACUUCCAUGAGACCAUUAAACCAGUAUAACCGAAAGGGAAAAAAUGAGAGCUGACAGUAAUAUAUAGCGGGUGCUGGUAGAGUCCGAACAGCUACCUAGGAGUAAGAAUUGCAAUCCCCUCAAAUGUAACAACAAGUUCUUCACCUCCUGGGGUAACAUCCGCCAUUGACACGAUCUUGUUGCGAAAGACCUUUAAAUACAGUACCCAUGACAUUAAAAAANNNNNNNNNNNNNNNNNNNNNNNNNNNNNNNNNNNNNNNNNNNNNNNNNNNNNNNNNNNNNNNNNNNNNNNNNNNNNNNNNNNNNNNNNNNNNNNNNNNNNNNNNNNNNNNNNNNNNNNNNNNNNNNNNNNNNNNNNNNNNNNNNNNNNNNNNNNNNNNNNNNNNNCAACCUCUUAUUAAUAGGGAAAUAAUUACUGAACAGUCUUUCAGUACAAGAAUCAUCUUAUCCAAAUUGUAGUAAGGAGAUAAUGCUAUCUUUUCCUGCGCCCUUUGCUUCAUAAAAUCUAAAAUCAUAAAUCAUCUACUGUUUUUUUUUUUUCAAAAUAAAAUAAAUAGAAAGAUUCUAUUUGAUAAGAGAGAACUUGCAGCAAUAAAAUAAAGACAUACUUAAAUGAGAUAUGAAGUGAUAAGUAGAACUAGCAAUCUAAAAGGUAAAAAAGGAGAGAACCCAACACAUCAGAAUCGUUUCUGAUUUGGGUGGACAAUAUGAAGGUUCGCACCUCCAAGGAAAACAAAGAGCGCAUGAAUAUUUCUUAAGUUAAGUAUAAUAAAAAUCCUAAAAUUGGGGUGCCAAGAGAACACACACAAAACAUACUUAUAGAUCACAAAAAAGUAAAAUAUGAAACUGCACACGGUCAUUCAAAGUACAUAUCUAUGUACACACCCACACGCACAAAUAUCAUCAGCAUUAGAGCAAACACGAUUCGAUUUUCCUUUGGUCCAUUUAUAUAAUUUGGUUGCACCCUCCUCGACACCCUUCACUGAAAUAUUUUGCUUAUUAGUUUAUAAGAGUAAUAUAUGAAAAAAUGAAAUUUUUCCUGGAGAACUAGAUCAAAUCUAUGACUAUCCUGUAUUUAAAAAGUUUAUAACACCUCAUACAAGAUAAUCUCAUGCAUGAAUCCAAAUUCAUCAUUGAUUUAAUGAAAUGCGUAACAUGGUCUUAGCAUUACAAUCAACUGAAUCCAACUCAGUUCCACUGGUACAGCUUGCAUGACCAAGUUUAUUUAUUAUUUUGAUAAGGUCAUCUUUACAAUAUUUCCAACAGUGUUUGUGCAUUAAAAAGUAAAAAUGACAAAGUAAAACAACAAAGAACGUAAUAAGCAUAUGCAAAGAGAGAACAAAAGGCAAGAUCGCCCAUUCUCAAUGCUAAUCAACAAUUAAGCCAAAAGCUACCAACUAGUAACACUAAACUUGUUUUAAUUGGUUAGCUUGGAAGAAUUGAAGUUAUAACAAGAAACACCUUAUUCUUUCACUUCAUUUUAAAAAUCUGAUUGAACUAAUCAGCCAUAGAGGAGGCUUAAUUUUCCAUGCAUGUAGUCUUACACCAACAAAUUCAACCACACAAAUCAAUCCUUAUAUAUAAAGACGUCCAAGAUGACGUCAAAUGACAUCAACAGUUCAAAUCAAUUUGAGAAAUCGUUUCCUUCAAUUUGAAAAAUAUGGUGAGUUAACUCGGUUAAUUAGAAAUUGAUCCGUCCCCCUCCCCCUCCCCCUCUUCCUCUUUUAAUUUCUGUCAUUUACACGCUUUGUUCCCAAAUCUUCUCCACUUUUUUUCAAUUUCUGCUUACAGUUGAAGAUUAGAUUGAUCAAACAGUCAAACAACCCACAAUUUGUCCCCAUAAUUCGUCCCAAUUUAGUUGCUCUAUCUACCUCUAUCCCCAGUCCAAAAUAUGAUAUGUAUCUAUUGAAGAACUGAAAGGAACGAUCGUGCCUCCUCUUUACUACGGUUUCAGUGCCUCCACCAUUGUGCCUCCACCGCCCUAGGUUUCAGUCUCCCUCUCCUUGUCUUCUAAUUUCAGGUUAUGACUGUACAAUUUGGUCUUAAUUUUGAUGUUAAUGAUUUCGAUUAGGUUUUCAAUUCAAAAACAUAAACAGGUAGAACCCUCCCAAAAUCUUCCUCUAGGGGAAGUUUUGCUAACCUCCGCAUCUCUUCUGCUGAUUCAGACAAUAUUUGGUGUAAUCACUUGAGUCCAAAUAUUCGCUAACAAUCAAAGUGUAGUUAUCAAACAAGUACCUAGAAGUGUAGGAAGUGAUUGACCGGGAAAUGGCAAAAGAACAAAUUGCACACUCAGCUAAAUUAACUUCAUAAUUCAUAAACCUCAAUGACUGAUCAGCCAACAACAGCCCACCAUCAUUUACCUCAUCCAUAAAAGUCCUCUCUAUCAAUUUCAAAUCUAACCCAUGUGUAUCCUUAUUAUCAGACCCAUGUAAAUGUAUAAUCNNNNNNNNNNNNNNNNNNNNNNNNNNNNNNNNNNNNNNNNNNNNNNNNNNNNNNNNNNNNNNNNNNNNNNNNNNNNNNNNNNNNNNNNNNNNNNNNNNNNUAGGGUUUCACUAUUUAAUCAAAAGACGUGUCCACGUAUAAUGCUUGAGCUCAAUAAUAAAACUUGAAAAAUUAACACACAAAAGCCCUAUCUUUUUUGGUAUAUAAAGAAAAAAGACUACAAGAACAACUAAAAGUGAACAAAUUUGGAGAAGAGUAUGAGCAAAACCCUAGAGAAAAAUGAAAACGGGUAUAAAUAUUAAUCUCAGAUUGUAAUAUGUAUACAUAUAACUUCGUUUCGCAGUAAAUUAGGGUUAGGGUUCCGAACACGAAGAUAGGAUAACCGAACGACAGAAUCUUAAUUUAAGAUCAACAUUAAUGAGUAAAAUAGCUUGAAAUGCAUUAAUGAAGGGGGGAAAUGGAGAAAGAGAACUUACAGUCCCGCCCCGGCCUCCGAGGGAGAUAUUGUUGAAUAAGUGACCAUCUGCCAUAGCUUCUCUCUCCCGAGUAAAAUACGAACACCGAUGUAGAAGUAGAAGACACAACUCUCGUUUUAUAGUGUGAACGUCAGUCAAUAUAACAAUUUUGCGGUUUCUUCUUUUGGGCCUAAUUUGAAUUUAUCCAUUCAUUUCCUCCCCUGCAAUACCCACAACAAGUAUCUAUCUCAACAAAUAAGUUUUUUAAUGGAGUACAAAAAAAUUGAUAUUGAAUUUAAGGAAAAAAUAAAAAAGGAAUUUGGAAUAUGAAUUUAAAUAAUAUUUGUUCAUUUUAAAAAAAA
rnacentral:lncRNA from 1 species